UGGCUCAGAACGAACGCUGGCGGCAGGCUUAACACAUGCAAGUCGAGCGCCCCGCAAGGGGAGCGGCAGACGGGUGAGUAACGCGUGGGAAUCUACCCAUCUCUACGGAACAACUCCGGGAAACUGGAGCUAAUACCGUAUACGUCCUUCGGGAGAAAGAUUUAUCGGAGAUGGAUGAGCCCGCGUUGGAUUAGCUAGUUGGUGGGGUAAUGGCCUACCAAGGCGACGAUCCAUAGCUGGUCUGAGAGGAUGAUCAGCCACACUGGGACUGAGACACGGCCCAGACUCCUACGGGAGGCAGCAGUGGGGAAUAUUGGACAAUGGGCGAAAGCCUGAUCCAGCCAUGCCGCGUGAGUGAUGAAGGCCCUAGGGUUGUAAAGCUCUUUCAACGGUGAAGAUAAUGACGGUAACCGUAGAAGAAGCCCCGGCUAACUUCGUGCCAGCCG
rnacentral:rRNA from 1 species